AUUGAACGCUGGCGGAAUGCUUCACACAUGCAAGUCGAACGGCAGCACGGGGGCAGCCCUGGUGGCGAGUGGCGAACGGGUGAGUAAUACAUCGGAACGUGCCCGGUCGUGGGGGAUAACGUAGCGAAAGUUACGCUAAUACCGCAUACGAUCUGAGGAUGAAAGCGGGGGACCUUCGGGCCUCGCGCGAUCGGAGCGGCCGAUGUCAGAUUAGGUAGUUGGUGGGGUAAAGGCCUACCAAGCCGACGAUCUGUAGCUGGUCUGAGAGGACGACCAGCCACACUGGGACUGAGACACGGCCCAGACUCCUACGGGAGGCAGCAGUGGGGAAUUUUGGACAAAGGGCGCAAGCCUGAUCCAGCCAUUCCGCGUGCAGGACGAAGGCCUUCGGGUUGUAAACUGCUUUUGUACGGAACGAAAAGGCUCUGGCUAAUACCUGGGGCUCAUGACGGUACCGUAAGAAUAAGCACCGGCUAACUACGUG
rnacentral:rRNA from 1 species